rnacentral:misc_RNA from 1 species
AAAAAAGGACGGCAGCUCGUGCUCGUGCAUCGAACUGUCGGCGUCCCAUCCGCUUCAGUCUUGCCCCAAGCGCAGCUCCUGGCUUGCGGGUGCUUGAGGUAUCCUGUGUUGCUUACCCACUUAGAGGAAUCCGAUGGCUUUGGUGCCCCCAUCCUCCUUAUGCCCUUCGGGGUGUGGGGUGGACGCGAGGCGGGCUCCGUGUUCCCCGCGUGUCGAGUGCAUUGACACUCGUCCGCUGUGGCCCAUGGGGUCUCGGCCCGUGCUCUCGGAUGCGGAAUGUUGUGUGGGCGUGGGGUCUCGGCCUCUGUUCGUCCAAGCUACACGCAUUGUCCCUUGACAUGAAUGACCGUCGCGCUCGUCUUGAUCGGUCGACCGAGCCCCCAUCACGGGGCUCCGGGAGGGCGGCUCAUGCGAGUGUCGGCGUCGGAGAGGAAUGCUACCUGGUUGAUCCUGCCAGUAGUCUAGGCCUUUGUCUAAAACGAC